CAACCCCAAAACGCCUACUUCCAUAAUUGUAGAUGAUCAUGAAGGCCAACACAAAUACAACAAUGGAGCAUCCAGCUCUAGAGGGCAUGUGCAGUGACCUUGCGGCGAAUAUCAUGUCCCGUCUCGACGGUUUAGCCCUGGCCUCCCUCGCUUGCACCUCGUCGGACCUCCGAGGCAUCGCUCGAAACAAUAGCUUGUGGAAAGAGCUAUGCCACUCCACAUGGCCUUCUACUGCACAGCAUCUUCUUUCGCCUUCACUCAUCUGCCAUUUUGAUAAAUUCUUUGCUGAUUCCUACCCAUUGAUAUUCUAUGAUGAAGCUUCCAACCACAGCUCUAAUGAACCGGAAACCAGCACUUCUCCUAGUGAUUUUGUGUCGCUUGUAGAUAUUUAUUACAGGAAUCAAUGUGUUCUCUCCAGGGUUCUACACGGCAUACCUGAUGCUGUAGAUGUGUUCAACUCCAAGAUCAUGGAUGACAACUGCUACAUAAUUUCCAGUGAACGUGAAAAAUGGUUUCUGAAUUGCCCCUUUAAUCUACAAUUGCUGGAUCUCACAUAUGAUGAGGAUGAUGAGGAUGAUGAUCAUCUCAGCUAUCUUGGUCAUGCCAACAACAAUGAGAGAUCAACUUCCCUGGAACCAGAUCACUGCAAGGAGCUCAUGGAGGACCUCAGACUGAGUUGGAUACUGUUAGAUAAGAAGACAGGCAAAGCAGUUAAUCUCUCAACCUGGAAGCCACUGUCAGUACAGAUUAUCAGGCCACAUGGGCACUAUGUAAUGCGUUUUGGGAGCAUCAUAUCCGUUGAAGAAAAUGUGCUGCCUCAAAAGCUAGCCAGGUGCACAAUAACAACUAAAUUUAAGGUGACUGAAACGCCUGGACUUAUUCAAUGGAGACAAAUCAGCAUGAGCAUUGAGAAUGUAACAGGCUCCCUUCUUGAUGGAAAAACGAGCUUGAUGAUUCUGAACAAGGCACUAUACAGUAUGAGAACCACAAAUUGGCUUAAGGUGGAAAAUGGCUUCAAUCAAUAUGACAAACAAAAAAGAGGGAUAAUAAGGAGAGAGGAAUUGAGAGAAACUUUAGCCAACAGGAUUUAUAUCUCGGUUGAAAUUGUAGUUUUUACACUUCUUUAUCACGCUUUUAGACAACUGUUUUAGCACUCUCAAACCAUAGCUGCAAAACUUAUUCUUCAUGUAAUAAUAUAUAUAUAUUUUUUAAAUCUUGCUACAACAGACCCUUGACUCCACUUAUAUUGUAAUAACCAAAGCUAAGUCCAUAGGCAACAUAAUUUUGCAUGGCUGAACAUAAAUUAGUACUCAAUGUGAAGAAAAAUAUUUGUUACAUUGUAAAAUAAGAGAUUGAUACAACUACGAAAGCAAAAUCUCUGAAUCUGGAACAUUCUUCUACUAAAUUCAGUGUGGUGCACUGAAAAGUGCUCUGCUAAUGAUCCCAGUAGCCUCUAUGUAACGGUCCACGCACCUGGAGAUACAGCUACUUUCACUACCGCUCAGGCUUGAACUUGGUUUUGUAAUGCACUUCUCAAAACAUUUCCCCCUAACAGUCUGCAAAGAGCGAAAAAAAAAAAUGAGUAAACUACACAAAAUUAUGCACAUUAUUCUGCUCAAAUACAAUAGACCGCACUUCACAAACAAGAGUUCAAGUAAACAAUUAUGGGCUCCUUAUAGGACCUUGGAUCUUCUGCCAUAUCAAAGAGCAUGCUGCAAUUUAUUUACUUAUUUGUUUGUUUAUUCCUCAGAAGACACCUUUUAAAAGCUUUUUUUUUUUUCUUUUAUCCCUGUCAAAUGAAUUAAACGCCAAGCAUAUCCUAGUAACUUUCCUUCAAGCCCAUAAAGCUUCACAAAUAUACUUAAGAAAGGUGCAUUUAUUACUGAAUUUAACCAUUCUGAAGCUUAGUAUUUGCUAUUAUGACAAGUCAUAUGGCAUGUUCAAACAAUGUCUUGGCCACAUAAUAACUCAGAGUCACCUCCCUAGCUCAAAUAAACAAUUUGUUCCUUAAAAGCCAGAGAAUUAAGAUCCCAUAAGCUGAAUUAAAGCUACUGUUUGAAUCUACAUGAUUAUCCCCAAUGCUUAGACUUCAUUUGAAAUAAUUCAUUUGGGAAUUCUUACACAAUUAUUUCUAUUUCUUUUAAAAUGAAAUACUUUUUAAUAUUAAAAAAAAGAAUNNNNN
rnacentral:lncRNA from 1 species